AUAAAGUCGUAACAAGGUUUCCGUAGGUGAAGCAGAUGCACGUUCGCCUACCGGAGCCGAGGCGGGUCGACCCUAAAUACCCGCGCGAGUCUGCCCUCCGGUCGGGGCCGGCGACGCCAUCAAUCUGUGCUGGGAGCGAUCCUUCGGGUGCAACCAGCAGCUCGCCAAGAGUCCACAGAUCAAACGACGGCGGCCAUACAUGACCAUGGUUUAGAUAUGAUCGGCCCCAACUAUCAGAAGUUGGCGAAAUUUUUGCGGAACCUGCGGAAGGAUCAUU
rnacentral:rRNA from 1 species